rnacentral:rRNA from 1 species
UACGAAGGGGGCUAGCGUUGCUCGGAAUCACUGGGCGUAAAGCGCACGCAGGCGGAUCUUUAAGUCAGGGGUGAAAUCCCGGAGCUCAACUCCGGAACUGCCUUUGAUACUGAGGAUCUCGAGUUCGAGAGAGGUGAGUGGAACUGCGAGUGUAGAGGUGAAAUUCGUAGAUAUUCGGAAGAACACCAGUGGCGAAGGCGGCUCACUGGUCCGGUACUGACGCUGAGGUGCGAAAGCGUGGGGAGCAAACAGG